AGCGAACGCUGGCGGCAGGCUUAACACAUGCAAGUCGAACGGGCUUCUUCGGAAGUCCGUGGCAGACGGGUGAGUAACACGUGGGAACUUGCCCUUCGGUUGGAAUAACUCAGGGAAACUUGAGCUAAUACCGGAUACGCCCUUUUGGGGAAAGGUUUACUGCCGAAGGAUCGGCCCGCGUCUGAUUAGCUUGUUGGUGGGGUAACGGCCUACCAAGGCGACGAUCAGUAGCUGGUCUGAGAGGAUGAUCAGCCACACUGGGACUGAGACACGGCCCAGACUCCUACGGGAGGCAGCAGUGGGGAAUAUUGGACAAUGGGCGCAAGCCUGAUCCAGCCAUGCCGCGUGAGUGAUGAAGGCCUUAGGGUUGUAAAGCUCUUUUGUCCGGGACGAUAAUGACGGUACCGGAAGAAUAAGCCCCGGCUAACUUCGUG
rnacentral:rRNA from 1 species